rnacentral:rRNA from 1 species
UACGGAGGGUGCAAGCGUUAAUCGGAAUUACUGGGCGUAAAGCGUACGUAGGUGGUUGAGUAAGUAGGUUGUGAAAUCCCCAGGCUUAACUUGGGAACUGCAGCCUAAACUAUUUGGCUAGAGGGCAGGAGAGGGAGAUGGAAUUUCUGGUGUAGCGGUGAAAUGCGUAGAUAUCAGAAGGAACACCGGUGGCGAAGGCGAUCUCCUGGACUGCAUCUGACACUGAGGUAAGAAAGCGUGGGGAGCAAACAGG